GUCUCUUUUCCUGACCCGGAACUCCAGGCGGCAAUUUCCCUGAUCUUUGUUCCCUGAGGUCUUCUGACAUUCAUGAGAUAAAGCGCCUCACACCAGUGACUCUUCUCAUCGCUAGAACAAAAUAUUUGACCAGAAGCAUCUUAACGAAAGACAGCGACCUCCAGAAAAGCUCCUAAAGAGUUCACGACCUCCCCAAACAGCGCCACCACGUGGCAAGGAGGAUGAACAUCUGUGCCUUCCCGACGUCCAGCUGAACUCUGUUCUUUUUGCCGAGAGUGUUAUAAGAAAGUAUGUGCCAGCUGGACUGGGGGCUAUCCCAAAAGCUGUUGCCUGUACACAGAAUAUGCUCUUCUAGCUGCACUGCCUCUUCUGACCUUAGUGGGAGAGUAUGUGCCUAGCCUCACAGAUAUUCGAUGUGCUAUGGUGGGGGAUAUUCCCAGGGGAAAACCCCGAAUUCUCAGAGGAGAAAGGGAGGGGAAAGGGAAAGGGAGGAAGAAUUGUGGGAAGGGGUGACUGGGAUGGGGGCAGUGAGUGGGAUGUAAAGUGAGUAAGUAAAAAAAUUAAUAAUAAAUAAAUAGAUAAAUAAACUCAACAACAACAGAGCUGAAAAUUUAUGGGUGAACAGUAUAAAUUUUAAAUAAACACGUUUUUCAAUAAAGAAAAAUACAUUCCAAAAUUCCCCUUUCUAUUUUUAAUUUCCUCUCUCCUUGCAUUCAUGUUGUGCAUAUGACCUCAUGUAUGUGAAGAUCUUCAAGGCCUUCUCUCCCUGUGUUCACAUGGUCAUGUGCAUGUGAUAUCAUGUGUGUGAAGGCCAGGGACAGUCUCGUACUGAGCCCUCUUCUGUCUUCAUGCAUGCAGAUGUCUUCCCGUUUGCCAUGGAGUAUGCCCAUCAGACUAGCUGGCCCCCAAGCUUCCAGGGACUCUUUUGUCUCCCAUUCCCAUUUCCCUGAAGGAGUACGGCAUUACAGAUGCACAAACUGAACCCAGCCUGACAUGCAUGAGUCCUGAGAAUCCAAACUCAGGUCCUCAUCUCUAUGUGAGUAGCACUUUACCAGCUGAGCCUUCUGGCACGCCGUACUUUCUUUUGCAAGUCUUUCAACUGUAGCUACCUUUGUUUUUGCUUUUUGUACCAUCCCAAGCAAUCCUGGAAGGAGUAACUGCAUUCAGUUUAUGACAACAUUGAUUGUUAUGUUCUUCUGUGGUGGACCAUGACACAAACCAGAGUGAUCUUCUGAGCAAAAGUUUAUAAAAUGUGAAAUUUACAGGGUAUGAUGAUGGCACCCCACAGGUCUCAGAAACAAGGAGUCUCUCUGGCUUAAUGAGACCAUUUAAUAGAUUCAAAACCGUGGCAUCCCACUUAAAAAAAAAAAUUCUUCCUGCCUUUCCUACUUCCUAUUAUAAGUUGUUAUCACAAAUGUUUAAUUUUAAAUUUAGGCACAAUAAAUAUUAUACUGAAGAAAUGUAUUCCAUUUAAUAAUUACACAGAACAAAUUCAUUUACUAAGGAAUUAGAAGGGAUUUUGUUGGUUAUUAAAUUAGUGACACGAUGAAGAAUGGGAGGCCACAUUAACUAGAAGUUAUAAAAUAGAAAACCACAUUAUAAUUUUGAUAAUAAAAACAAAAUUAAAAGGAGCUGAAGGGACUUAUUAAUUAUAAAAUGUCGGAACUAUCCCAAGCACCGUAAACGCUCUUUCAGUUGGGGUGUUCCUGGGACUCUUGGGGGGUUACAUGGAACUCUUCGAGCUCCUUAGCUUUCCGAAUAUCAGCGUCCCGUUUGAGUUGCUGGGGGGUGGAAUUAUGGGAAUGUUGCACAGAGGAGUGAGAGGUAGACAAAGCUAUCUAUGCAGCUGCACAGCCAGACCGUGAAGGACACAGGAAGUUACGGUGUAGGAGACAGGAAGUUACCGUGCAGGAGACAGGAAGUUAUCCCAGGACACAGCAGCUCUGGAGGCUCGACAGAACUCUGCAGCAGGAUCAGUUCGCCCCUGUGUGUAGCUUCCUGAACUGUGGUCCUGAGGUUGGUGGCUCUGAUUUUUGCUUCAGUUUCUGCUGUGGCCACUCCUCCUGCCUUCCCCCUACCUGCUUCUCCUAAGGUUUCUAAAAACUAAUAUCACUAUUAUUAUGAUCUAAUUAUUAUUAGGGGAGAGCACGUGUGUACCUUGGCACACGUGGAGGUCAGAAGAUAGUUUUCAGGAGUCGGUUCUUUUAACCGGGGAUCCGGGAUGGAAGUUAAGUUGCCAGGCUUACAAGGCAAUCACUGUCACCCACUUAGCCAUCUCUGAGGCUUUCUCCUGGUUUCUUUACUGAUGUGCCUCCAGUUUCUGUCACUGUGUGGCUUCUGUCUACCGAAAGCCUCUCUUGAACAUCUGUUUGCUUCUCAUGAAAUUUGUGAGCAUCUGUCUUCUAUCAGUUUCUUUAGAUGUAACCCUUGAGUUUGAAGGGACUUUAUUUAGGAGAUUUAUGAAGAAAAUGUUCUCAGUCUCAGAAAGACAGUGCCAAGAUCAAAGUCAUGACGCAGUCUCAUCACAGACGCUCAGAACCCUUUAGCUCAUUCUCUUGGAUGCAGAAACUGGACACAGGAGCUGGGACAGUCCUCCUCAUACAGUCAGUCAUUGGUUAAGUGACUGUGCAUGCAGUAACUUCCGGGUCCUUCCAGUACUCCAAUUGCUUGCAGGAAAAGGUCUAGGGAAGGAAAUGCUCAAACGGCAGAUAGAGACACCCAAGGAUUUUGGAAUCAGGUGAUGGGUGUAGUGGGUCAGCACACCCUUCAGAGUCAGGUAUCGUGUACACUGCAGCUGUCUAGGACAGGUCUGAGGCAGUCACAAAGUUCUGUAUAAGAUGCUUCCAAAUGGCUGGCCAGAUUACCACCCCCCCCCCAACCAAAAAAAAAAAAAAAAAAAAAAAAAAAACCAUGAAAGCAAAAUACCCAAAGCCCCUUGGAAUAGGUAAGUAUAUAUUCAAGGGCCGAAUUUGGUAGCUUCUGUGCUGCUUGGGCUUCAUGAGCAGCAGUCAAGGAGGAAGAGGGGUAGGAGGGGAGAAAGAGGAGGAGCAGAAGGAGGAAGAGGAGGAGGGAGAGGAGGAGGAAAAAAGAAGUAGGAGGGACCGGAGGAGCAGGAGGAGCAGGAGGAGGAAGGGACGGAGGAGGAGCAGCAGCAGCAGGAGGAGGAGCAGCAGAAGGAGAAGGAGGGGGUGGGAGGAGGAGGAGGAGGAGGAAGAGGAGGAGGAGGAGGCAUUGAUGUAGCAGGUGGAGUCCUUCAGUAUUCCAGUUCCCAAGAAGGCAUCAGAUAUUGAAACUCCCAGCUUGCGGGGUGACAAAGGGGUCAGGGGUCCUUGGCUCUUAAGUGGAGCUGGUAUUUGAGAUCCUGGCAGCCUUGGAUAUCCGGAUUCUUCGUAUCAGGCUUACAGCUUGUGUGUUUGAAGUGUCUGCGACUCUUUCCCAAAAAGGAUCGACCGCAAUCUGGAAUUCGUCUUGAUUCCUUACAGCCUUUGAUUCUUCUUCAGCCUCCACGGUGUCUUCUCUACUCUCAACAGCCCCCCUGUCUCUACCCUGGCUGUUCUUUCUGACUGUUCGGCUGACUUUAACUUCUGGACAGCCUCACCAUGACAGUAGCUUGGUCAGCGGACCCACUCAGCUCCGCCUGCCUGGCAGCUUGCAGGCCAUUAUCCGUCUUGCUGUGUUUGCGGCUCAGCCUAAGGACAACUCUGCUGGACAACUGAUCGUGUUACCAGGUCUCACAUUACUGAAAAUGGCCAUGAAAAGACCACUUGAGAGAGGCCUUUUCCUGGGCCUAAAGCAUAAGUAUUUCCCAGGGCACCAGAGCAGCCCGCAUCUGUAGCCAGGAGGAGGAGUGUUUGGGCCAAUCACAGCGCACCUCAUAUGCAAAUGAAGAUUUGUGUUUGAAUCAGUUACAGCCUUGGUUCUUCAGUGUCCGUUGCUCUGGUGACCACUAGGAAAAGUGCUCCUCCUACAGCCUAGGAUGGAAGAGAGGACCAUCUCCCGCAAGCUGUCUGCUGACCUCAACACAGGUGCCAUAGUACAUGCACCACACUCCUGUGCACGGAUACAUAAGAUCAUGCACAUGAUACAGUGUUCUCAGACAUGGACCUGUAUUUUCACCAAUCAAGAGAGAAAAGACAAGGACUGGUGACAUGGCUCCGUGGACCCUGCCACCACGCUGGGACACCUGAGUUGGAUUCCAAAGAGCCACUUGGUAGAAGGAGAGAACCCUCUCCUCAAAGUUGUCCUCUGACCUACAUGUUUGUCCUGUGGUGCCCUUGUGCACAUAAAACAAAAUAAAGAAUAGAAUUAUU